CUCCAUUAACAGCAAACAAGCUGCUGGAAAGCCCAGGUUAGUCAGCAUCACUGCUGCUCGCACCACCGCGCCUCGCCACGUGCCCACUGAGCGGCCGAGGCGCUGCCUGCGCACCAAGGACGAGCCGGCGCUCACGGCAGCGUCAGUGCCUGGCAAAGCAGCAAAGUGACCCCCGCUCCGAGGCCACCCUCGAGCGCCCACCUCACCCCCUCCCUCAGCUCAUGCACAUGGCUCAGGACCCUCCGUGCACCCCUGCACACCAAGGGAGAUGCAGAUGCUUUUGUGUGGGGUCGCGCUGUCGGCUCCUGUGGCAGCACCGAGCUCCAAGCCCAGCCCGGGGACGCUGCCCCGUCGUGCAGCCCACGUCCCUCCGCCCCCUAUGGGGGCCACAGUGGCCCCACCAGAGGGGCAGCUCUCCUCGAGCAGCCCCAGCUGCUGCUCAGCAGCCAUUUCAAGUUGAUACCUUGGUGCAGGGUGUACAAAGCAGGACAAACGCCCACCAGGGCACCCACACUGUCCUUGUGGGACCCCCAGCAGGGUCCCCGCACAGGACCGUGCCCCACCUCCGUGCCUGCUCCCGCAGCACGCCGCACACACGCUGUGCUGGUGGUGCCCCCGCCCUGCUGCUCCCCUGCGCUCCGCAGCUGUUGUGCAAGAGGCAGCGCUCAGCAACAACACCACAGGCACCCGGCCUGCCGGGAUCAGCCCGGCUCUGCUGCACAGCCAGGGCUCACCCGCAUCCCCACAGCCCCUUCCACAGCCGCUGCCAGCCCGCUCAGACCCACGGGGCUCCCUUCUUCCUCCCCAGCCUGGGCUCCGUUUUCCCUGCUCGUGAUACCGGGCAGCUCCCUGGCAGCGCCAGCCAGCCGGGCAGCCCGCGGGGCAUCCAGGCUAGGGGAUUUGCAGACGCUUCCAAACAAACAAACCAAACCACCAAACCAAAAACAAAGAGGAAAGCCCACACACAAAGAGGAAAAGGCCCUAAGCCACAACAGUGCAGUUUGGGGAUGACUUCCC
rnacentral:lncRNA from 1 species